rnacentral:lncRNA from 1 species
AAUAUAAACGACUGCAAGAAUACAUCGUAAAUCUAUACGGAUGCCCUUCGACUGCUUGUCGAAGUCCUUUUUGCCCCAGCUGGUAUGUCUCUAGACGUUACAGAGAACCUCGAACAACCCAAUCUGCUAAUCUCCGAUACCCCUUUGUACUUACGAUCUUGUAUCCACUGACUGUCUUGUUAGAUUAACUCAAUAAAUUUCAUUCACUCCGCAUACUCAAUCCUAUAGACACCCUUUUAAUUCUUCAAUCACAGACGUAACUCGAUUUCAUAAAACAGUCAAGAGUAAUCAAACCCACUUCAUUAAAAAAUCCCGAUUCACCAUUACAACACUGACUUCAACAACGAUUGCCUCAGUCUUCCCAAAACCCUAUGAAGAAGAAAAAUUCAAUUCUCC